rnacentral:rRNA from 1 species
AGAGUUUGAUCAUGGCUCAGGACGAACGCUGGCGGCGUGCCUAACACAUGCAAGUCGUAACGAGAAACCACGCCUUUGAUUCCUUCGGGAUGAUAAGGCCGGUAGAAAGCGGCGAACGGGUGAGUAACGCGUGGGUAAUCUAUCCCUGUAAGUGGGGGAUAACCCUCCGAAGGGAGGGCUUAUACCGCAUAACAUCUUCUCCUUCAUAUGAAGGAGAGAUUAAAUGAUGGCCGCUUUAUUUGCUAUCACUUCAGGAUGAGUUCUGCGUCCUACAAGGUAAGUUGGCAGGUUAAUGGCCUAUCCAAUAUCCACAUAUGUGUGUUAGACGGUCUGAGAAGGAAGUACGGCCCUCCCCUGGGACCUGGGAUAUCGGUUUUU